GAUGAACGCUGGCGGCGUGCCUAAUACAUGCAAGUCGAGCGAACAGACGAGGAGCUUGCUCCACUGACGUUAGAGGCGGACGGGUGAGUAACACGUGGAUAACCUACCUAUAAGACUGGGAUAACUUCGGGAAACCGGAGCUAAUACCGGAUAAUAUAUUGAACCGCAUGGUUCAAUAGUGAAAGACGGUUUUGCUGUCACUUAUAGAUGGAUCCGCGCCGCAUUAGCUAGUUGGUAAGGUAACGGCUUACCAAGGCAACGAUGCGUAGCCGACCUGAGAGGGUGAUCGGCCACACUGGAACUGAGACACGGUCCAGACUCCUACGGGAGGCAGCAGUAGGGAAUCUUCCGCAAUGGGCGAAAGCCUGACGGAGCAACGCCGCGUGAGUGAUGAAGGUCUUCGGAUCGUAAAACUCUGUUAUUCGGGAAGAACAAAUGUGUAAGUAACUAUGCACGUCUUGACGGUACCUAAUCAGAAAGCCACGGCUAACUACGUG
rnacentral:rRNA from 1 species